rnacentral:misc_RNA from 1 species
CGGGAUAUCUUUUUUGUUUUGGACAAAAGGACUAAUAAACCCUAAAUCUUAAGCGCUUCUUUUCCUCUUCAUGGCAUGACUUCCUCUUCUUCCAAAAUCUUAAACCCUAAUUAUAUGGCUCUUUCUUCUGCUCUCCGCUUAUCUAACUCUGUACUCCGCUACCACGUCCAUUUCGCCCAAACCCGCUUCUCUGGUCUCCGCCACCGCCUUUCUGAACUCCGCUUUCUAUCAACAUUCCCUUCCUGUACCCGCCUCCUGCCUGUGCAAGCGCGCCGC